rnacentral:rRNA from 1 species
UACGUAGGGGGCAAGCGUUAUCCGGAUUUACUGGGUGUAAAGGGAGCGUAGACGGCAAUGCAAGUCUGGAGUGAAAGGCGGGGGCCCAACCCCCGGACUGCUCUGGAAACUGUAUAGCUGGAGUGCAGGAGAGGUAAGUGGAAUUCCUAGUGUAGCGGUGAAAUGCGUAGAUAUUAGGAGGAACACCAGUGGCGAAGGCGGCUUACUGGACUGUAACUGACGUUGAGGCUCGAAAGCGUGGGGAGCAACCAGG